rnacentral:rRNA from 1 species
GAUGAACGCUGGCGGCGUGCCUAAUACAUGCAAGUCGAGCGAACGGACGAGAAGCUUGCGUCUCUGAUGUUAGCGGCGGACGGGUGAGUAACACGUGUAUAACCUACCUAUAAGACUGGGAUAACUUCGGGAAACCGUAGCUUAUACCGUAUAAUAUUUUGAACCGCAUUGUUCAAUAGUGAAAGACGGUCUUGCUGUAACUUAUAGAUGGAUCCGCGCUGCAUUAGCUAGUUGGUAAGGUAACGGCUUACCAAGGCAACGAUGCAUAGCCGACCUGAGAGGGUGAUCGGCGACACUGGAACUGAGACACGGUCCAGACUCCUACGGGAGGCAGCAGUAGGGAAUCUUCCGCAAUGGGCGAGAGCCUGACGGAGCAACGCCGCGUGAGUGAUGAAGGUCUUCGGAUCGUAAAACUCUGUUAUUAGGGAAGAACAUAUGUGUAAGUAACUGUGCACAUCUUGACGGUACCUAAUCAGAAAGCCACGGCUAACUACGUG